AUGUCUUCUAGAGUUCUCUCGACCACUUCAUUGGAAAUUUGUUAUUCGGUUAAUUCCACUGAAGUGUUUGGGGGAACUCCGGACGUUAU
rfam:Arabis alpina cultivar Pajares chromosome 2, whole genome shotgun sequence.